rnacentral:rRNA from 1 species
AGUGAACGCUGGCGGCAGGCCUAAUACAUGCAAGUCGAACGGCAGCACAGCAGAGCUUGCUCUGUGGGUGGCGAGUGGCGGACGGGUGAGGAAUACAUGGGAAUCUGCCCAGUCGUGGGGGAUAACGUAUGGAAACGUACGCUAAUACCGCAUGCGCCCUACGGGGGAAAGUCGGGGACCGCAAGGCCUGACGCGAUUGGAUGAGCCCAUGUUCGAUUAGCUAGUUGGCGGGGUAAAGGCCCACCAAGGCGACGAUCGAUAGCUGGUCUGAGAGGAUGAUCAGCCACACUGGAACUGAGACACGGUCCAGACUCCUACGGGAGGCAGCAGUAGGGAAUAUUGGACAAUGGGGGCAACCCUGAUCCAGCCAUGCCGCGUGAGUGAAGAAGGCCCUCGGGUUGUAAAGCUCUUUUGUCAGGGAAGAAACGGUCUACUCUAAUACAGUGGGCUAAUGACGGUACCUGAAGAAUAAGCACCGGCUAACU